CACAGGCGUUGCAUGGCUGUCGUCAGCCCGUGGUGCCAAGCCGUCCAGUAUUCUGGGCACGGGCAUCUCCCUCCCUUGGCAGUCCUUAUGAAAGCUUCAAGUCUCUGACUCACCCCUUCUGUGGAGGGGGUAAGAAUGGGUUUGACUCUACUUCUCAGAAGGUUGCAAGACAUUGAUCGAAGCCAUAGAGCUUGGGUCAAAGGAAGAGAGGACCACGUCAAGUCUUCAUGGCCCAUAUGGGGUGGGCUACACGUGUGUGACAAGGAUCGUUUCAGUGCUCUGUCGAAAGAACGACAGAUAAUAACAACGAUCAUAGUACGGAUGGUUGCUUGCAACUCGGCAACCUGAAGGAGGAAUCGCCAGUAAUCGCGGAUUAGCCCGCCGCGGUGAAAAUAAGAAGCUUACCCGGGGCAUUCACCGCCCGUCACGUUCGGAAAGUUUUAUGCAUUGGAAAGUUUUACCGGGAAUGGAGGUCCCAGUCCCAUCAAAAGAGUUGGACUCUUUAGGAAAGGACCUCUAUUCUUGGCGGAAAUGAAUGUGUGUAUCGCAAUCGGAAUGAAGUCGUAACAAGGUUGCUGUACGGGAACGUGCAGCAG
rnacentral:rRNA from 1 species